GUGGGAAGAACCCAAGGCUCUGACCACAUGCCUGUUGAAGAAUGAGCCGACGACUAGUAAGUAAUGGCUUAAUUAAGGGAACACACUAGAACUGUAGCAAAAGCAAGUCUUUACAAGACAAUUUGUCACUGCUUAUGGGUUUGAAUUUGGUUGAUCUAUCCAUGACAAGAUGAAACUUAAGUGAAAUUAAGUUGAGGUCCAAACUAACUGAUGUUGAAGAAUCAAUAGAUGAAUUGUGGCUAAAGAGUGAAAUGCCUCGUAAGUGAAUAGGAGGAGGACAAUAAUAUUUAAGGU
rnacentral:ncRNA from 1 species